AACUGCACAAUGUGGGAAACCACGAUGCGGGAAACCCAAGUGCCAGCGCUAUGCGUUGGCUGUCCUCAAGUGUUCGUAACUUGGGAAGAAAGAGCUGGGUAAGACGGGUGCCAGCCGCCGCGGUAAUACCCGCAGCUCAAGUGGUGGUCAUUAUUAUUGGGCCUAAAGCGUCCGUAGCUGGCUUGUUAGAUGCCUGGGUAAAUCGAUGCGCUCAACGUAUCGAAUUCCGGGUAGACCGGCAAGCUUGGGACCGGGAGAGGCAUGGGCUACUCGCGGGGUAGGGGUAAAAUCCUGUAAUCCUGCGGGGAGGACCAGUGGCGAAGGCGCCAUGCUAGAACGGCUCCGACAGUGAGGGACGAAGCCCUGGGGCGCAAACCGGAUUAGAUACCCGGGUAGUCCAGGGUGUAAACGCUGCAGACUUGGUGUCGCUGAUCCUACGAGGGUUGGCGGUGCCGGAGAGAAGUUGUUGAGUCUGCCGCCUGGGGAGUACGGUCGCAAGACUGAAACUUAA
rnacentral:rRNA from 1 species